GAUGAACGCUGGCGGCGUGCCUAAUACAUGCAAGUCGAGCGAACAGACGAGGAGCUUGCUCCUCUGACGUUAGCGGCGGACGGGUGAGUAACACGUGGAUAACCUACCUAUAAGACUGGGAUAACUUCGGGAAACCGGAGCUAAUACCGGAUAAUAUAUUGAACCGCAUGGUUCAAUAGUGAAAGACGGUUUUGCUGUCACUUAUAGAUGGAUCCGCGCCGCAUUAGCUAGUUGGUAAGGUAACGGCUUACCAAGGCAACGAUGCGUAGCCGACCUGAGAGGGUGAUCGGCCACACUGGAACUGAGACACGGUCCAGACUCCUACGGGAGGCAGCAGUAGGGAAUCUUCCGCAAUGGGCGAAAGCCUGACGGAGCAACGCCGCGUGAGUGAUGAAGGUCUUCGGAUCGUAAAACUCUGUUAUUAUGGAAGAACAAAUGUGUAAGUAACUAUGCACGUCUUGACGGUACCUAAUCAGAAAGCCACGGCUAACUACGU
rnacentral:rRNA from 1 species